rnacentral:rRNA from 1 species
AUUGAACGCUGGCGGAAUGCUUUACACAUGCAAGUCGAACGGUAGAGGGGGCAACCCCUUGAGAGUGGCGAACGGGUGAGUAAUAUAUCGGAACGUGCCCAGUCGUGGGGAUAACGUAGCGAAAGUUACGCUAAUACCGCAUACGAUCUACGGAUGAAAGCGGGGGACUCGCAAGAGCCUCGCGCGAUUGGAGCGGCCGAUAUCAGAUUAGGUAGUUGGUGGGGGUAAAGGCUCACCAAGCCAACGAUCUGUAGCUGGUCUGAGAGGACGACCAGCCACACUGGAACUGAGACACGGUCCAGACUCCUACGGGAGGCAGCAGUGGGGAAUUUUGGACAAUGGACGCAAGUCUGAUCCAGCCAUUCCGCGUGCAGGAUGAAGGCCCUCGGGUUGUAAACUGCUUUGUACGGAACGAAAGGUUUCUAUUAAUACUAGGAGCUCAUGACGGUACCGUAAGAAUAAGCACCGGCUAACUACGUAGCCAGCAGCCG